UACGUAGGUGGCGAGCGUUGUCCGGAAUUACUGGGCGUAAAGGGCGCGUAGGCGGGAUGGCAAGUCGGUCGUGAAAUCCCUCGGCUCAACCGAGGAACGUCGAUCGAUACUGCUGUUCUUGAGGAUUGCAGAGGAGACUGGAAUUCCCGGUGUAGCGGUGAAAUGUGUAGAGAUCGGGAGGAACACCGGUGGCGAAAGCGGCUCACUGGACCUGAUCUGACACUGAGGUGCGAAAGCUAGGGUAGCAAACGGG
rnacentral:rRNA from 1 species